rnacentral:rRNA from 1 species
AUAUCAGUAAGCGGAGGAAAAGAAACUAACAAGGAUUCCCCUAGUAACGGCGAGUGAAGCGGGAAAAGCUCAAUUUUGAAAUCUCGCGGGUUUCCCGUGCGAAUUGUAGUUUAUGAAGCGUUUUCGGGGACUCCCUGGGUGUAAGUCCUUUGGAAUGAGGCGUCAGAGAGGGUGAGAAUCCCGUCCUUAACCCGGUGUGGGUCCCUAUGUGAUGCGUCUUCUAAGAGUCGGAUAGCUUGGGAAUGCUGUCCAAAAUGGGUGGUAAAUACCAUCUAAAGCUAAAUAUUGGCGAGAGACCGAUAGCGCACAAGUA